rnacentral:rRNA from 1 species
UGGGGAAUUUCCGCAAUGGGCGAAAGGCCUGACGGAGCAAUGCCGCGUGGAGGUGGAAGGCCUACGGGUCGUCAACUUCUUUUCUCGGAGAAGAAACAAUGACGGUAUCUGAGGAAUAAGCAUCGGCUAACUCUGUGCCAG